AGACUCUUGAUAACAGGAAGAGAAUGAAACUACUUCCGGGGCAAGACAGUAAACGCGCUUCCACGUGAACUAUCAGAUUGCACAAAACGGAUUCCGAUGAGGACGUGAUCUUUAUGCGGGAGAAGUCUCUCCUCAAGUCCCGGGACAUCACCAUUGACCAGGCAAAACGACUGGCGCUGCAGCAAGACAUUGAUCGAGAGUCCCAGCCCAAGCAAGCAGCCAGACGUCUGGCAGGCCAGAAGAGUUUUUCUGUGGCGAUGCCAGAGGCCAAGGUGCAAAAUAAGAUGGAGGCUGCAGAGGAGCAUGAGCAGAGCAUGAAGCAGAACGGUGUAAAGAAAGAGAAGAAAAGCAAGACAGAACAAACUACUGCACCUGAGAGAGAAGCCUGUGCUGUUGAUGAGGAAGGUCCAGGAGGAGUGAAGAAGAAAAAGAAAGAAAAGAGGAAAGGUGAGACAAAUGUUAAUUUAGAGGAGGCUUCAAAUGGCGAUGGAGGUGGUGAGAAACUGGAGAAGGAGAAAAAGAAGAAGAAGAAAAAUAUUGUCACUGAUUCUGUAACUGCCAAUGGCCAUGAUGCCAAGGAGCUGGAAGGAAAAUCAGAAGCCAGCAAAAAGAAGAAGCAGCUGGCUGAGGAGCAAAAUGAAGAGGAAACCAAACAGGCCUUAGCAAACAAAGAAGGGGGUGUGAAAAAAAUAAAGAAAAAACAGAAGUCUGCCGAGUUUGAGAUUGCACAGGUAGAGACAAGAGAAAAAGAGGAAGAACAAGUAACGGAUAAUGUGCCUAAGAAAGCCAAGAAGGAAAAGGCCAAGGCUUUAACUGUAAGUGCAGAAAAGACAGGGGUGCAAAAUAAAGAAAAGAAAAAGAAAACAAGCGAGAAGAAAGAGAUGGACACUGCUGAACCUGCAGCGGGAGCAGAGGAUGGACCAAAGUUAAAGAGAAAGAAAGCUCAAAAGAAGUCAGCUGAGAAAUUAGAGACGGUAGUAACACCAGAUGGAGAGAAUAGAGUGGCUGAAGAAAUAACUGUGAACAAGAAGAAGAAGAAAAAAGAAGCCAAGACUGAGCGUAAAGCUGCAGCUGAAGAAGAAGCAGAAACAGAGGAGAUCCAACACAACACCAAGAGGAAGAAAAACAAGCCUGGAGCUCCAAUGAAGGAGGAAACCGAGGAGACAGAAAUGAAGUCCAAGAAGACGGACAAAUCCAUCAACGGUGUUGUUUUAGCCGAAGAGGGGCGAGAGCCAGAGAGCAAAAAGAAAAAGGGGAAGAAGAGGAAAGCAGCUGUCGAAGUCAGUGGAGAGGAAGAGACGGGACCUAAGAGGAAGAGGGAGAUGAAGAAGGUGAGCUCAAAGGGGGAGGAGGAGGAACCAUUAUUGGAGACAGAAGAAGUCAAGGAGGAGGUGCAGAGCAGGGAAAGUGACACAAACGGCCAGAAAAGGAAGAAGAAGAAGAAGAAGAAGAAGAAGAAGAGCUCAUCUGAGGUACAAAUAAAGGUGGAGGGUGAAAGAGAAACAGCGGAGGACACAGAAACGGGUGCAAAAAGGAAGAAGAAGAAGAGGAAGAAGAAGAUCAAGCUGGGACAAGAAGCUGAAGCGGCGGCCCCUCAGAUGGACGUGGUCUUCCUGUCUGAGAAGACAGGAAAUGCAGACGAGGUGACCAUCAACCAGGUACAUGUCCGUGUGAAAAUCAUACACAUAAUCCAUAAUAUAUCCGCACAGAUUGCCAAGAUCUUUUGUCAUUUCUGUCCUAAAUUCAGUUUUUCUCAUCAU
ensembl:lncRNA